rnacentral:snoRNA from 8 species
UAUUCCCGUUCAGAGCAUGAAUCUGGUGGCUAGAUAUGACUUUGCUCAUGUUUCUUCCACCUUUGAUGAUCUUUCCUUGUUCUUCAAUGAACAUGGAUGAAGGGAAUAUGUUCUGAGUGGA